UACGUAGGGUGCGAGCGUUAAUCGGAAUUACUGGGCGUAAAGCGUGCGUAGACGGUUAUGUAAGUCGGGUGUGAAAGCCCCGGGCUCAACCCUGGGAAUUGCAUUCGAGACUGCAUAGCUAGGGUGCGGAAGAGGGAAGCGGAAGUUUCCGGUGUAGCGGUGAAAUGCGUAGAGUAUCGGAAGGAACACCAGUGGCGAAAGCGGCUCCUGGUCCAGCACCGACGUUCAGGCACGAAAGCGU
rnacentral:rRNA from 1 species